AACUGUCUCUUGCAGCCCACCCAUGAAACUGAUCUCUUAGUCCAAAAGCUAAGAUUUUACCACAAGACGAGAAGACCCUGUGGAGCUUAUAGACCAAGCCCAUAACAAUGCCCUCUUGGUUUUUAGUUGGGGCGACUUCGGAGCAUAAAAAAACCUCCGACAUGAUAUUUAGCCAGACUUAGAUGGACACAUCAAAAAUAAAGACCCAGUAGUUCUAAAAACUAGCUGAUCAAUGAACCAAGUUACCCCAGGGAUAACAGCGCUAUCCUCUCUUAGAGUUCCUAUCGACGAGGGGGCUUACGACCUCGAUGUUGGAUCAGGACUCCCUAAUAGUGCAACAGCUAUUGACGGUUCGUUUGUUCAACGAUUAA
rnacentral:rRNA from 1 species